CUCCCUUUCCCCCCGCGUCUCUCUGAGAGCUGAUCUGAGCUGCUGCUAAGGACCGAAACGCGCCUCAAGCUGUCACUUGCCGCCUGGAGUUCGUUGGGAAAGUUGAAAAAGCCUAGUCCUGUUUAGGAAAUCUAUCCAGCUGUGUAUAUACUUUUUGCUUUUAGGGUAUGAAGCUCAGGAAGGAUAAGAAAAACAAGAUCACACAGCUGGCAAGUGGCAAAGCAGGACACAAUUUAUAACUCCAGAACGAGAAUUUGCAGUUGUUGCGCCAGAUGCCCUGUAGCGGACCUCUCUGCAUAGCCAUGACUAUUCCUGGAACUCACUAUGUAAACCAGAGAUCUGCUUGCCACUGCCUCCCUAGUGCUGGGAUUAAAGUGGCUCGUCUGGGUUCAGGAAAGUAUAGCUCCAGUUUAGUGUUCUUAUGGAUCAUCGACUGUACCCAAGACCAGAAACGGAAACAACUAGAUCAUCUUCAACUGAACAACGGAGACAGAAACGUGAUACAGGGGACUCUGGUUCAAUUCCCAGCACCCACAUGA
rnacentral:lncRNA from 1 species